rnacentral:rRNA from 1 species
AUGCACGCUGGCGGCGUGCCUAACCCAUGCAAGUCGAACGGAGUCCAGCCUUUAAGACCUUCGGGUCAAAGAGGGGAAGACUGAGUGGCGGACGGGUGAGUAACACGUGGGCAACCUGGCUCAUAGAGGGGGAUAACAGGGAGAAAUUUCUGCUAAUACCGCAUAAGCACACACUGCCGCAUGGCAGAGGGUGAAAAGAGAAUCGCUAUGAGAUGGACCCGCGUCUGAUUAGCCAGUUGGCAGGGUAAGAGCCUACCAAAGCGACGAUCAGUAGCCGAUCUGAGAGGAUGAACGGCCACAUUGGGACUGAGACACGGCCCAAACUCCUACGGGAGGCAGCAGUGGGGGAUAUUGCACAAUGGGGGGAACCCUGAUGCAGCGACGCCGCGUGAGUGAAGAAGUAUUUCGGUAUGUAAAGCUCUAUCAGCAGGGAAGAUAAUGACAGUACCUGAAUAAGAAGCCCCGGCUAACUACGUG